CGUUCCCGGGCCUUGUACACACCGCCCGUCACACCAUGGGAGUGGGUUGUACCAGAAGUAGGUAGAAUAACCGUAAGGGGUUCGCUUACCACGGUAUGGUCCAUGACUGGGGUG
rnacentral:rRNA from 1 species